rnacentral:snRNA from 1 species
GCGAGAGUAGUACUAGGAU